rnacentral:rRNA from 1 species
GGAAGUAAAAGUCGUAACAAGGUCUCCGUUGGUGAACCAGCGGAGGGAUCAUUACCGAGUUUACAACUCCCAAACCCAAUGUGAACGUUACCAAACUGUUGCCUCGGCGGGAUCUCUGCCCCGGGUGCGUCGCAGCCCCGGACCAAGGCGCCCGCCGGAGGACCAACCAAAACUCUUAUUGUAUACCCCCUCGCGGGUUUUUUUUAUAAUCUGAGCCUUCUCGGCGCCUCUCGUAGGCGUUUCGAAAAUGAAUCAAAACUUUCAACAACGGAUCUCUUGGUUCUGGCAUCGAUGAAGAACGCAGCGAAAUGCGAUAAGUAAUGUGAAUUGCAGAAUUCAGUGAAUCAUCGAAUCUUUGAACGCACAUUGCGCCCGCCAGUAUUCUGGCGGGCAUGCCUGUCCGAGCGUCAUUUCAACCCUCGAACCCCUCCGGGGGGUCGGCGUUGGGGAUCGGCCCUGCCUCUUGGCGGCGGCCGUCUCCGAAAUACAGUGGCGGUCUCGCCGCAGCCUCUCCUGCGCAGUAGUUUGCACACUCGCAUCGGGAGCGCGGCGCGUCCACAGCCGUUAAACACCCAACUUUCUGAAAUGUUGACCUCGGAUCAGGUAGGAAUACCCGCUGAACUUAAGCAUAUCAAUAAGCCGGAGGAG